UACGUAGGCAGCAAGCGUUGUUCGGAGUUACUGGGCGUAAAGGGUGCGUAGGCGGCCUUAUAAGUAUGGUGUGAAAUCUCCCGGCUUAACUGGGAGGGUGCGCUAUAGACUGUGGGGCUAGAGUGUGGGAGAGGAAAGUGGAAUUCCUGGUGUAGCGGUGAAAUGCGUAGAUAUCAGGAGGAACACCGGUGGUGUAAACGGCUUUCUGGACCAUAACUGACGUGAGGCACGAAAGCGUGGGUAGCAAACAGG
rnacentral:rRNA from 1 species